rnacentral:sRNA from 16 species
GUCAACUACCCGCCAAUAAAUUGGCAGGCAUGUAAAAGUGUCUAGGUUGACCAGAUCACUGAUUGGGAGGAAACAAUAUCAGUAAACGAUAGACAAGAAAUAGUUACCUUCAAAUAUCGCCUCAGUUUGAAGCUCUAAG